GAUGAACGCUGGCGGCGUGCCUAAUACAUGCAAGUAGAACGCUGAAGGAGGAGCUUGCUCUUCUGGAUGAGUUGCGAACGGGUGAGUAACGCGUAGGUAACCUGCCUGGUAGCGGGGGAUAACUAUUGGAAACGAUAGCUAAUACCGCAUGACAACAGUUAUUGCAUGAUAACUGUUUAAAAGGGGCAACUGCUCCACUACCAGAUGGACCUGCGUUGUAUUAGCUAGUUGGUGAGGUAACGGCUCACCAAGGCGACGAUACAUAGCCGACCUGAGAGGGGGGUCGGCCACACUGGGACUGGGACACGGCCCAGACUCCUACGGGAGGCAGCAGUAGGGAAUCUUCGGGAAUGGACGGAAGUCUGACCGAGCAACGCCGCGUGGGUGAAGAAGGUUUUCGGAUCGUAAAGCUCUGUUGUAAGAGAAGAACGAGUGUGAGAGUGGAAAGUGCACACUGUGACGGUAUCUUACCAGAAAGCGACGGCUAACUACGUG
rnacentral:rRNA from 1 species